UGCUCCCUGUGAUGUUCCCACUGAGCCUCAUCCCUGCAACACCGGCCCUUUGGCUUUGCUUCUGCCAACUGAGGGGGCAGGAGGAGACCGAAUCUCCACCCCUGUCCUAACUUUGAGGCAGAGAGCUCCCCGUGACACCCGCUCUUUGGGCAUAACCGGGACCAGUAGCCUUCCCGUCUCCUCUGCGGUCCUGCUGGGAGCAUCCAGUCCUGGUGGCAACUGCUCAGACACAGGCCUGGCCCCCAGUGAGACUCCACCUGUGCUGUAAAUGCUGGCUGGCCGCUCCCCGAAAAGACACGCUUGCAUGCUCCACCCUCCAGCUCUUGUCCGCAGAGCUUGGCCUUCCCGCCCUGACAGAUCCGUGCUCGCCAUCGGGUAGUUUUGCUGAAAGGAAAGAACCAUUUAAAUGUCUGGCCUGGAAGUCCUGGGAGAAGAGACCAGCUUGCUGUGCUGGAGGCACCCAGGCAGGUCAGAAUGAAUCAGAAUAAAUCCCUCCUUGGGUACCUGCAGUCCAGUGUUUGCCAGAGGAAAGGAUGUGAGCAGGCCACGUGGGUCAAAUCCAUCAAAUGAAAGAUGCUUCCAAGAUCAGGGGCCCAUGAGUAGCUUGGGGUUGGGGGCAGAAACCCAGGGAUUGGGGUCCCAAGGUAAGAGGUUCCAGCAACACGGAGACUGUG
rnacentral:lncRNA from 12 species